CUUUCUCUUUUCUCUGCAACAACAAAGCACUAUCACCAUCAUCAUCAUCAUCAUCAUCACACCUUCUUCCCUUCCUCACAUGGUAGCCGCCACCACCACGUGCCACACCACCACCCAUGGACGAGUACUGCCGCACCACCACCACCCCCCAUGGACAACGUAAAACAGAGAAGACAGAACCCUAACCACCGCCACCUUCAACUCUCAAUUCCGGCGAAUCACGAUCAUCAUUUGGAGAAACCAACACCACCAUUGUACUCCCCUCAUCGUCCGCAACAAAACCCCUCAACCAAUUUGUCGUUCCGCCGUGAGCCGCCGCCUGAGGCGAUUUCCGGCGUGCCCGCAGCACCACAUGAGCCACCAUCUUCUCGUUUUUUUUCCUUUUCCUUGUGCAGCACCACCACUUCUUCUUCCUCUCUCCAUGAGACCACCACCGCUGGCCACCCACAACAUCACCAUGGACAGCCACAAGCUUUCUUCAAUGAGUCUUGCAGCCCCAAACACGCGAGCCACCAUCACCACGCAAGGUUCUUCUCUUCAUGGCCGUGAAGCCAUCACCAUCAUCAUGGUGGGGGCGAGAUCAUCACUUUCUAUUGAUCAUCACCACCCAGGUAACCCCACUUUCUGUUUCUGAUCUGGGUGCUUUAAAAGUUAAAUCUUUUAAAAAUUCAAAAUAUAUUUUAAAAGUAAUGUCAGAUGUUCAUUAAAAAUCCUAGAAUUAACUGAGUUAGGCUAGUUUCAAUUUUGAGGUCUUCAAUGGUGUUUAUUGUUGAAGGCUUUUGAAUUGGGAUUGUGUUCUGGAGAACUUGAAGUGAGAGUUGUUUGGCACUGAAGACUGAGGACUGAGGAGAGAGGAUUUAUUUUUUACAAUUUUUUUUAUAUUUUUAUUUUGUAAAUUACUACUAUGACCCUUGGUCCACCGGUGGACCAUUUUGAAAAUUCCUCACCCUAACCGGCACCUGAAUGAAUAAAGAUUGUUAAAACAAAUCUGCAUAGAUGCAAGUGGAUAGAACGAAAACAACUAAAAUUCAUGUCCAAUUUAUUUUUGGUGCUUUUUGUGGUACUUUAAGCCAGAUUAAGGUGUGAUACUCAAAAUGAGUUGGUUCAAUAACAAAGACUCAUGUACUAGUUAAAAUUUUGAUUGUUAUAUCGUAGUAAUGCAGCGUUCCAUUCUUAGGAUGUGAGAUUUGCAUGUUGUGUUUUUUGAGCUUUGUUCAUCCAUUAAUCAUGGUCAUUUUACACGCAUUUCCAUCACCAUAAUUCAUUUUCACCACUUGUCCAUUUAAUGUGGGUACCACACGUCCACACCCAAAACAAAAUUCAAGAUACCAUAAAAUUUAUCAUUUUUAAGUGUAAACACUUAAAUAUAUGAAGACAAAAGUAACAUAAAAAAUGUGAUAUGCGAUGUGAUAUAAAAGGAACGGAGAGAAAAAAAAUGUUAAAGUUUUUGUUGCUGUUUGGUGGUAUAUAAAUCGAGAUCCCAUUGGAAAAGAAAGAUCAUCCUUGUUAAUUAGUUAGUCUUUUCCAGCUAAUACAAUACACUUCAUUUACUCUUGCUAUCCAACCAUAAAAAACACCAACACCCGUUUAUGGCAACCGAACUCAUGAAGAUGCGCUACGAUGUCUUUCUCUGUUACCAAGGGGAAGACACACGAAGCUUCACAGAAUAUCUCUACUAUGUUUUGCGUGACAAGAGAUUCAUAACUUUCAUGAGUACAGGUGGAUCGAAGAGUUAUGAGAACAACGAGGGUGAAAUCUCAUCAAGUGUUCUUAAAGCAUUGGAAGAAUCAAGGAUUUCAAUAGUUAUUCUCUCUUAUAACUUUGCAUCAUCUGCUAGUUGUCUCAAUGAACUUGUCAAGAUCAUCGAGUGCAAGAGAUGAAAAACCAGCUGGUUUUAACAAUCUUUUUCGCCAUCGAUCCGUCCAACGUUAAGCGUUUGAGGGGUACGUUUGGCAAAACCUUGGAAAAUCUUGAAGAUCGGUUUAUAGAGUACAAGCAGGAGGAGGAGGUGCGGAAAUGGAGACCAGCUUUGCUUGAAUGAAGUUGCCAAAUCACCAGCAAUUCAUUUCAAAUGGUUCCAUCUUGAAUUUCAACUCACGGAAGGGAUCGUGAAAUGGGUCAUGAAGCACUUGAUCCGCUACGAUAUAUACCUUAGUUUCAGUGAGAAAGAUACUCGCUACUCCUUUACAGGUUUUCUCUCUGAUGCAUUACAUGGGGAGGGAUUCAACACCAUCCUGAAGGAUGAAGGAUCUGAGAAGGAAGACCAGAUUUCCCAAUCUCUUGUUACAUCAAUUGAAAACUCAAGGCUUUUAAUCCUUGUUUUAUCUGAAAAUUAUGCAUAUUCUUCAUCAUGUCUAGAUGAGCUUGUUAUGAUUAUUGACCUCAUGAAGAAUCAAAACCGACAAAUUUGGCCUGUUUUUUAUAAUGUGGAACCAUCAGAUGUAAGACAUCAAAGAAAUCAUUAUGGGAAAGCCAUGAUUCAACAUGAAAGUAAAUUUGGAAUAAACUCUGAAAAGGUACGGAAUUGGAGAUCAGCUUUGCUUCAGGUCGCCAACUUAAACACUAUGUUUGGUUGUGAAGAGAGAGAUAGAGAAGAGAGAGUAGAGAAGAGAGAAGUUGAGUAGAGAGAAAUAGGUGAGAGAUAGAGUGGAUUUAUUGGGUUGUUUGGUAUGGUAGAGAUAAAGAAGAGAGAGAUGAGAAAUAAUGAUGUGGAAGAGAGAGAAAAAGUUGACUUUGAAUUAAAAAAAUCAAUUUUAAAUACAAAAAGUAAAAAGUUUAUAUCAUGUGCAAAUAGUAGCGGUUUGAAACCGCCACUAAAUGUCAAUUACGAAAAAAAAAAUAAAAAAAGAGAGAUCAACCGGUUACUGUUCCUUUUCUCUCCAAUUUGGAGAGACCCCAUUUUUGGGUGGGUCCCACAUCAAAAGCCCCCUCCCUCCUCCCUCCUCUCCCCCACCAAACAAGGGUGGUUCUCCUUUCCUCCCUCUAUCUCUCUUCCUCUCAUCUCUCCCUACUCUAACUCUCCACAACCAAACAAAGCAAAAAGGAUGGCACAUGAAAACUAGGUAUGACUAUCAGGUUAUAGAAAAAAUUGUGGCAGCGGCUAUUAAACUUUACUCCAGGGUCAACUAAAAGCAAGAACAAUUCAAUUGAAGCAUGCUCAGAAACUGAUAGUCAUAGUAAUGCUCAAUACUGAAAAUAUACCAUGUGCUCAAGUUACUUUUACUUUCGAUGUGCCAAUUUACUUUUAGAUUAUUUGUGUUUAUUCAUAUUUUCUUACUUGAUGUCCUCGAAAGUUAACUCAAGUGAUGAGAGCUAGGAAACAUAAAAGUUUAGAAGAUCGGUGAAGGGUUUGGUCUUUGACGUUGAGUGGGCUUUAGCAAAGUCACUUUGUAUUGUUAUUGUCCUUGUGCUCUUGUGUUCUGUUUCUCUGUUGUACUGCCUAAGUAAUGGCUCUCCUCCUUUCCCUUUUCUUUCA